UGGCUUUCCUCACGCCUCUGUCAAAGGCUCGAGCAUCGGCAGGGCUUUGAAAAGUGAGCCCGAACUUCCUGUUGUCCACUUUCCAGUGGUGGAAGGUCGGGUUCGCCUUGGUGUACACCAGGUCCUUCUUCACGAAGCACUCUAGCACCACCAGUUUGUCUUUCUGCCUUUCACCAUGGAUUAGAAAUCCACUUCUUCCAUUGCCCUCUGGGUACGUGACCUUGCAGACGCCAACUCUACUGAGGCCGCCUCCUUCUUGCGGCAGCCAUCCCCCACUGGAGUCAUCUCGGGUCAUAACCACAGCUUUGACUCGCACAAUAUAGCUGUCAUCGUCUGGGUAGGCGUCCUCGGUCAUCUUCUCCCCGUCUCGGCUCAUCCCUCGCCGCGGGCGGCCGGGCUGCGCCUCCGCAUCUUCCUGCGCUUCACAUGGCGGGGGAGGCCGCGGCGGGGCCGGGGCUGGCGGCCGCGCCGGGCCGGGCCGGGCCCGACGGACGGCGGCGGCGCGGGAGGCUGAGGCGGGGCGGGGCGGAGGGGAGCGGUCCGGCGGCGCUACGGCCGCGCUGGGCGGCGGGCGGCGGCCGGGGGCGGCGGCGGCGGCGGGGAG
rnacentral:lncRNA from 1 species